CCUCCUAAAAACGACACACGUAUUAGGUGGCAGUUACAGUUUGAAAUUUACAAUUAAAGUUAACAUUGAAGACAGAUAUUUCGCAACUGAAAAGUAAUGCAAAUGAGUUUGUUUGCGUGGCGAGGUUACCGCUGUGGCUAACUCAACAAAUCUUGCUUAAAAUCAAUUGACGUUCUCAUCCUUCAUUGCUCGUUGACAAACAAUGUACGUAUUCCCUGGUUCACAAAAAAUACUGACGAACAGUGUUUUCGAUUUCGUUAAACAUUUGCACAAGGUUGUGUGCCUCCUCGCCUCUGAAAUACAACCAAUCAGGGACAGCGCCAAACUACUUAUGCAUUAUAGGUGGGAAAACAAACAGUUGUUAUCAAUCAGACACUGCAACGACAUAGAAGAAAUGAAGUUUGUUGUGCUGCUCUGUUUUAACCUGCUACUUUCUGUCCAAACCCUGCAAGUGGUGGCUCUGUCUACAGAAAGCAAUCCACGUGUUCAAGG